AUGUUUUAAUAACUAAAUCCUCUUAUCCAGAUCCCAAGUUUCAGAAGAGGAUGGCAAUGCGGUCCGUUUCUCCAUAUAUGUAUGGAGCAUGGCCGAGGUCAUUGGUCUACGGAGGAUAACAAAAUACUAUCUCAAUU
rnacentral:sRNA from 1 species